AUUGAACGCUGGCGGCAUGCCUUACACAUGCAAGUCGAACGGUAACAGGUCUUCGGAUGCUGACGAGUGACGAACGGGUGAGUAAUACAUCGGAACGUGCCCAGUAAUGGGGGAUAGCCCGGCGAAAGCCGGAUUAAUACCGCAUACGCCCUGAGGGGGAAAGUGGGGGACCGCAAGGCCUCACGUUAUUGGAGCGGCCGAUGGCUAAUUAGCUAGUUGGUAGGGUAAAGGCCUACCAAGGCGACGAUCAGUAGCUGGUCUGAGAGGACCAUCAGCCACACUGGGACUGAGACACGGCCCAGACUCCUACGGGAGGCAGCAGUGGGGAAUUUUGGACAAUGGGGGAAACCCUGAUCCAGCAAUGCCGCGUGUGCGAAGAAGGCCUUCGGGUUGUAAAGCACUUUUGUCAGGGAAGAAAUCCUUUGGGCUAAUACCCUAGGGGGAUGACGGUACCUGAAGAAUAAGCACCGGCUAACUACGUGCCAGCCGCCGCCGUAACAC
rnacentral:rRNA from 1 species